AGUGAACGCUGGCGGUAGGCCUAACACAUGCAAGUCGAACGGCAGCACAGUAAGAGCUUGCUCUUACGGGUGGCGAGUGGCGGACGGGUGAGGAAUACAUCGGAAUCUACUUUUUCGUGGGGGAUAACGUAGGGAAACUUACGCUAAUACCGCAUACGACCUACGGGUGAAAGCAGGGGAUCUUCGGACCUUGCGCGAUUGAAUGAGCCGAUGUCGGAUUAGCUAGUUGGCGGGGUAAAGGCCCACCAAGGCGACGAUCCGUAGCUGGUCUGAGAGGAUGAUCAGCCACUCUGGAGCUGAGACGCGGUCCAGCCUCCUACGGGAGGCAGCGGUGGGGAAUAUUGGACAAUGGGCGCAAGCCUGAUCCAGCCAUACCGCGUGGGUGAAGAAGGCCUUCGGGUUGUAAAGCCCUUUUGUUGGGAAAGAAAAGCAGCAGGUUAACACCCCGCUGUUCUGACGGUACCCAAAGAAUAAGCACCGGCUAACUUCGG
rnacentral:rRNA from 1 species